AUUGAACGCUGGCGGAAUGCUUUACACAUGCAAGUCGAGCGGCAGCGCGGGGGCAACCCUGGCGGCGAGCGGCGAACGGGUGAGUAACACAUCGGAACGUACCCUAUCGUGGGGGAUAACGAAUCGAAAGAUUCGCUAAUACCGCAUACGACCUGGGGGUGAAAGCGGGGGAUCGCAAGACCUCGCGCGAUUGGAGCGGCCGAUGUCGGAUUAGCUAGUUGGUGAGGUAAAGGCUCACCAAGGCGACGAUCCGUAGCUGGUCUGAGAGGACGACCAGCCACACUGGGACUGAGACACGGCCCAGACUCCUACGGGAGGCAGCAGUGGGGAAUUUUGGACAAUGGGGGCAACCCUGAUCCAGCCAUUCCGCGUGAGUGAAGAAGGCCUUCGGGUUGUAAAGCUCUUUCGGCAGGAACGAAACGGUGGAGGCUAAUACCUUUCAUCAAUGACGGUACCUGAAGAAGAAGCACCGGCUAACUACGUGCCAGCAGCCGCGGUAACAC
rnacentral:rRNA from 1 species